UAGUAGUUGAUAAUAACGUUGUUGCAAUUAAAAGGUUCUAGGUUUAUGAAUGAACUCUUACUAAAUAAAAACACAUACAGUCUAACUGUAUGAGAAUGUCACUUCAUCUAAAUAGGAGUGUUCAUAGCAGACUUUUAGUUCACCGGAGGUUUACCGAAGGUGGGCUGAUUCAUUACAGUCAUGAACUAUUGAAUGUGAAAUGACAAUGAAACCGUGUCGAGGGGAAGUCCUAGACUGACCUGAGUACGGAAAGAGGAACAGGGAUAUAAUUACUUCUACUACUGAGGUAUAGAAGUCCGGAUUGCCGGAAUGUCAGGGCGAGCGGUGAAAUGCAGUGACCCUUGGCAGACCACCAUAAGCGAAAGCAGGCAAUUGGUAUAUCUCCGUUAA
rnacentral:rRNA from 1 species